rnacentral:tRNA from 2 species
GGGUCGUUAGCUCAGUUGGUAGAGCAUCGGACUUUUAAUCCGGUGGCCCAGGGUUCGAGCCCCUGACGACCCACCA